rnacentral:lncRNA from 10 species
CCAGGCUGGAGUAUAGUGGUGCGAUCAUAGCUAGCUGCAGCCUUGAACUCCUCCUCAAGCAAUCCUUCCUCCUUGGCCUCGCAAAGUCCUGGGAUUACAGGCGUGAGCUACUGGGCCUGACCUACAAAAUGUUUUAUGCUUUCAAUCACCUUUCAGUUGAAUGACCAACUUGAAAUCUGAAGAACAGAUGAGUGAUCCUUAAUAGUUUUCUUUUCCCUCUUCAUCACCUCAUUAUCAUUAAAAAGGGCAAUAGAUCUUAACAGGAAUGCCGAAAAUAGCACUCUGUAAAAAGGAAUAAAAUAGGUGUAGACACCAUGCUGGGG